UUGAUCCUGGCUCAGAACGAACGCUGGCGGCAGGCUUAACACAUGCAAGUCGAACGGUCUCUUCGGAGGCAGUGGCAGACGGGUGAGUAACGCGUGGGAAUCUACCUAUCUCUACGGAACAACAGUUGGAAACGACUGCUAAUACCGUAUACGCCCCCCUUUGUGAUUAUUGGGUGGGGAAAGAUUUAUCGGAGAUAGAUGAGCCCGCGUUAGAUUAGCUAGUUGGUGAGGUAAUGGCUCACCAAGGCGACGAUCUAUAGCUGGUCUGAGAGGAUGAUCAGCCACACUGGGACUGAGACACGGCCCAGACUCCUACGGGAGGCAGCAGUGGGGAAUAUUGGACAAUGGGCGCAAGCCUGAUCCAGCCAUGCCGCGUGUGUGAUGAAGGCCCUAGGGUUGUAAAGCACUUUCAACGGUGAAGAUAAUGACGGUAACCGUAGAAGAAGCCCCGGCUAACUUCGUGCCAGCAGCCGCGGUAAUACGAAGGGGGCUAGCGUUGUUCGGAAUUACUGGGCGUAAAGCGUACGUAGGCGGACUAUUAAGUUAGGGGUGAAAUCCCAGGGCUCAACCCUGGAACUGCCUCUAAUACUGGUAGUCUUGAGUUCGAGAGAGGUGAGUGGAAUUCCGAGUGUAGAGGUGAAAUUCGUAGAUAUUCGGAGGAACACCAGUGGCGAAGGCGGCUCACUGGCUCGAUACUGACGCUGAGGUACGAAAGUGUGGGGAGCAAACAGGAUUAGAUACCCUGGUAGU
rnacentral:rRNA from 1 species